rnacentral:rRNA from 1 species
UACGAGGGGGGCAAAUGUCGUUCGGAAUCAUUGGGCGUAAAGCGCGCGUAGGUGGCCUCGUAAGUCCGCUGUGAAAGUCAAAGGCUCAACCUUUGAAAGCCGGUGGAUACUGUGGGGCUAGAGUACGGAAGAGGCGAGUGGAAUUCCUGGUGUAGCGGUGGAAUGCGCAGAUAUCAGGAGGAACACCAAUAGCGAAGGCAGCUCGCUGGGACGUUACUGACACUGAGGCGCGAAAGCGUGGGGAGCGAACAGG